GACGAACGCUGGCGGCGUGCCUAAUACAUGCAAGUAGGACGCAGUUGCGAACGGGAGAGUAACGCGUAUGUAACUACCUAUUAGAGGGGGAUAACUAUUGGAAACGAUAGCUAAUACCGCAUACUGGUAGAUGGACCUGCUUUGUAUUGGCUCGUAGGUAGGGUAAUGGCCUACCUAGGCAACGAUACAUAGCCGACCUGAGAGGGUGAUCGGCCACACUGGGACUGAGACACGGCCCAGACUCCUACGGGAGGCAGCAGUAGGGAAUCUUCGGCAAUGGGGGAAACCUGAACGAGCAACGCCGCGGGAGUGAAGAAGGUUUUUGGAGCGUAAAGCUCUGUUGUUAAGGAAGCGGUACUUAACGAGAAAGGGACGGCUAACUACGUGCCAGCAGCCGCGGUAAUUC
rnacentral:rRNA from 1 species